rnacentral:rRNA from 1 species
GAUGAACGCUGGCGGCGUGCCUAAUACAUGCAAGUCGAGCGAACGGACGAGAAGCUUGCUUCUCUGUUGUUAGCGGCGGACGGGAGAGUAACACGUGGAUAACCUACCUAUAAGACUGGGAUAACUUCGGGAAACCGGAGCUAAUACCGGAUGAUAUUUUGAACCGCAUGGGUCAAAAGUGAAAGACGGUCGUGCUGUCACUUAUAGAUGGAUCCGGGCUGCAUUAGCUGGUUGGUAAGGUAACGGCUUACGAAGGCAAGGAUGCAUAGCCGAGCUGAGAGGGGGGUCGGCCACACGGGAACUGAGCCGGCGUCCAGGCUCCUACGGGAGGCAGCAGUAGGGAAUCUUCCGCAAUGGGCGAGAGCCUGACGGAGCGACGCCGCGUGAGUGACGAAGGUCUUCGGAUCGUAAAACUCUGUUAUUAGGGAAGAACAUCUGUGUAAGUAACUGUGCACUUCUUGACGGUACCUAGUCAGAAAGCCCCGGCUAACUACGUG